rnacentral:lncRNA from 10 species
UUUUUUUGGAGACAGAGUCUCACUUCGUUUCCCAGGCUGGAGUGCCAUGGUGCAUUGUCUGCUCACUGCAACCUGCGCCUCCUGGAUUCAAGUGAUUCUCCUGCCUCAGCCUCCUGAGUAGCUGGGAUUACAGGCACCUGCCACCACACCUAGCUUUUUUUUGCAUUUUUAGUGGAGACAAGGUUUCACCAUGUUGGCCUGGCUGGUCUUGAACUCCUGACCUCAGGUGAUCUGCCUGCCUUGGCCUCCCAAAGUACUGGGAUUACAGGUGUGAGCCACUGCGCCUGGCCUACCAACCCCUAAUUGAAAUCAGAACACAUCUGGCUUUUGUGUAUCAGCUUGAACACUCUCUAGAUGUGUCAUCUUGGCCAAGUGACUUAACUUGUUUGAUCCUUGGUUACAUCACUUUUAAAACGGGGAUAACAACACCUAUCUUGUAGGGUGUACUAGUUUCCUAGAGGUGCUGUAAGAAAUUACCACAAACUAUGUGGCUUAAAACAACAGAAAUUCAUUCUCUUAAUUCUGGAGGCUAUACAUUCAAAAUCAAGGUGUUGGCAUGGCCAAGCCACACUUUCUCUGAAGGCUGUGGGGAAUAAAUUGUUCCAUUCUCUUUUCUUAGUUCCUGGUGUUGCCAGUAAUCCUUGGUGUUCCUCAGCUUGUAGAGGGAUCACUCCAGUUCCCAUCUCUGUUUCAGUGUUUUUCCUCUUUGUCCACAUCUCUUCUCUUCUUCUUCUUCUUUUUUUUUUUUGAGAUGGAGUCUUGCUCUGUCGCCCAGGCUGGAGUGCAGUGGUGCGGUCUAAACAUCUUAUCAAGAUCUGUAAGAAGGUACUAAAGAAAAUCCUAGUUUAGUUCUCUCCUCUGAUCAAAAAUUAAUAAAAAUAUAGGAAAAUCUUGGCUUAACAUCUCUUCUGAUUAACAAAUGAGGGAUGGACUGCCUAAUGUGACUUCUGGAACACAAGUCAAGGUGGUCUUUAUGGACUUCUGCAAAUGUAGAUACUUCCCUCACAUCACUAUGUGGCUUAUCUGGUUUCCAGGAAUUUAAGGUUCUUGGGUACUUGAUGUGUUGUGACAUUUAAUUUGGAUAUACAUCUUUAUUUAGACCUGGGAAUAAGGGACAUAGAAUAUAUUAAUGCAUUCAUAAUAGAUAACUUGAGGGUCUGAGGUCCACAGAAGCUCCAUAAGUUGCCCAAGGUCAGCUAAGGAGUGUCAGUGACUGAGUUGGAGGCUAAAAAUUUGUAUGUAGCCACUGAUUUUCACACUAAAUGUUCAUAUGUUUCUAUUUACUUGAGUAUUUUCAUAUAUGACCCAAGGGGUCACACAAUUGUUAAGUCAAGGAAGUUUCUUUCUUUAUUGUCAUUUGCUAGAAUAAUCUAUGCUGAUAGUUGAAAAUAUAAAAGCUAUCAGCACUUUGUCAUCCAACACUGCUACUAUUCUUUAUAGCUACUUGAUUCAGCAUCCAGCUAAUCUCUUCUUCGUUUUCUUCCAGACUCUGAUUGUGUUAAUCCUCUCUCUCCUACCCCAGAAACCUUAUGGGGAGCAAGAUUGUUUUCAUCUAUCUUUUCCAGAAACUGCAGGGACUUCAAAAAAAAUCAUGAUUGCCAAAAGGACUUUAACUGUCUUGAACCAUAGAAAGAACCAACAAAGGACAGAAUUUAAAACAGGUCCAGUUACAGACUUCGAAUAUGCUCCCUCUUAAAAGUACAAUGUAUGAAGCCUCUGAGGCUUCUUGGAAAGGUCAAUAACUUUGAAAUCGAUAUAGCUGAGUUCAAAUCCAGGAUUUGGAUUUGCACCUUGGACCUUUUAGAGCCUCUAUUUCUAUCAUUUUAUAAUGAUGAUAAUGUUGCAAGACUUAGAGAUAGUAAAUUUCAAAACUCAGCCCAAUGUCUUACACUAAGCUGUAGACAUCAUUAUUGGUAUUAUUACCUAUUAUUGAAGUAAGGUAUAUUCAAGACACAUUCAUGUACUUUAUUAUCAAAGUAACAUGUUUGUUAAGCUAUGUAGGAAUUCUCUAAAACAAUUAAAGAAGAAGCAAGAACAGGCUUUUUCCUGAAUACUUAACACUUAAUGCAAUAUUAGCACAGAUGUUGGAGGAACCACAGCCUGUUUGUAAGUACACUUUCAAACAGAAAAGUGCCAGGGCAGUGGUUCUCAAGCACAGAUGAGUCUCUUCUAUGGCUUUAAAAACAUACAACACUCUGAGCACUUUCCCUGAAAUAUUGAUGCGUAUUUUAAUAUGGUGCUCAGUUCUGGAGCCAGACUGCCUGUGUGUGGAUUCCAGCUCUCCCAUUACUAGCUAGGUAACUUUAUGGUGUUAUUUAAUUUCACGGCUCCGGCUUCCCCAGCUUCCCCAGCUUACUCUGUAUACGCAGGUUACUCUGUAGCAUAAAGAGAACACUGGCACUUGCCCAUUACAUAGGAAGGACUCAACAAAUGCUUGCUCUCAUCAAGAGGUAGGAGUCUGUAUUAAAAAUGAAAAACA